rnacentral:rRNA from 1 species
GAUGAACGCUGGCGUCGUGCCUAAUACAUGCAAGUCGAGCGAACGGACGAGAAGCUUGCUUCUCUGAUGUUAGCGGCGGACGGGUGAGUAACACGUGGAUAACCUACCUAUAAGACUGGGAUAACUUCGGGAAACCGUAGCUAAUACCGGAUAAUAUUUUGAACCGCAUGGUUCAAAAGUGAAAGACGGUCUUGCUGUCACUUAUAGAUGGAUCCGCGCUGCAUUAGCUAGUUGGUAAGGUAACGGCUUACCAAGGCAACGAUGCAUAGCCGACCUGAGAGGGUGAUCGGCCACACUGGAACUGAGACACGGUCCAGACUCCUACGGGAGGCAGCAGUAGGGAAUCUUCCGCAAUGGGCGAAAGCCUGACGGAGCAACGCCGCGUGAGUGAUGAAGGUCUUCGGAUCGUAAAACUCUGUUAUUAGGGAAGAACAUAUGUGUAAGUAACUGUGCACAUCUUGACGGUACCUAAUCAGAAAGCCACGGCUAACUACGUG